CUUUGUCUUUGCCUGGUGGCUGCCGCAUGGCCGGAUCUGAGUUUCCUUCCUGUCUGCGCACUUUUACCUGGUCAUCUUGGUGUCCACUGAAUCAAGUGGUGUAAAGCUGGAUCAGCGGACAGCUGGGUAAAUGUAGCUACCUGUGCAGUGCAGUGGUUGCUGGCUAGCGGUGGAGGCUAGGCACUCUGGGUGGUUCCCUGCACCUUUUUGUUGUAGUGAUAGGUGCACUGGGACACAGUAGUCUGUACCUGUUUGCCGUAUUUGCAGUGAGUUCACGUGUGGUGGGUAAGUGCACUCCUGGGACGCUUCCUUUGGUAGACUGCCUCCCUCUUGCUAGCUUCCACUUAUUCCCCCUACCCUUUUUGUUAGUUUUCAUCUUUUUACCUGGAAGUGUUUUAUUAAUUAAAGACUAAUUGUUAAAAUAAUAAAUUGUAAUAAAAUUGAUAUGUCUGUUCCAUGAAUUUUGACUUGAAAUUCAU